UCAGUAGCCGGCCUGAGAGGGUGAACGGCCACAUUGGGACUGAGACACGGCCCAAACUCCUACGGGAGGCAGCAGUGGGGAAUAUUGCACAAUGGGGGAAACCCUGAUGCAGCGACGCCCGUGAGGAAGAAGUAUUUCGGUAUGUAAACUCUAUCAGCAGGGAAGAAAAUGACGGUACCUGACUAAGAAGCCCCGGCUAACUACGUGCCAGCAGCCGCGGUAAUACGUAGGGGGCAAGCGUUAUCCGGAUUUACUGGGUGUAAAGGGAGCGUAGACGGCUUUGCAAGUCUGACGUGAAACUCCGGGGCUCAACUCGGAACUGCGUUGGAAACUGUAAGGCUUGAGUGCCGGAGAGGUAAGCGGAAUUCCUAGUGUAGCGGUGAAAUGCGUAGAUAUUAGGAGGAACACCAGUGGCGAAGGCGGCUUACUGGACGGCAACUGACGUUGAGGCUCGAAAGCGUGGGGA
rnacentral:rRNA from 1 species